AGCGGAGGAAAAGAAACCACAGGGAUUGCCUCAGUAACGGCGAGUGAAGCGGCAACAGCUCAAAUUUGAAAUCUGGCCUCACGGUCCGAGUUGUAAUUUGUAGAGGAUGCUUCGAGCAUGGUCUGGCCUAAGUUCCUUGGAACAGGACGUCAUAGAGGGUGAGAAUCCCGUAUGCGGCCAGGUGCCUACGCUCAUGUGAAGCUCCUUCGACGAGUCGAGUUGUUUGGGAAUGCAGCUCAAAAUGGGUGGUAAAUUUCAUCUAAAGCUAAAUAUUGGCCAGAGACCGAUAGCGCACAAGUAGAGUGAUCGAAAGAUGAAAAGCACUUUGGAAAGAGAGUUAAACAGUACGUGAAAUUGUUGAAAGGGAAGCGCUUGCAACCAGACUUGCGUGCGGCCGAUCAUCCGGUGUUCUCACCGGUGCACUCGGUCGCGCUCAGGCCAGCAUCGGUUUUGGUGGUUGGAUAAAGGCCCUAGGAAUGUAGCUUCUCUCGGGGAGUGUUAUAGCCUAGGGUGCAAUGCAGCCCACCGGGACCGAGGACCGCGCUUCGGCUAGGAUGCUGGCGUAAUGGUUGUAAGCGACCCGUCUUGAAACACGGACCAAGGAGUCUAACAUCUAUGCGAGUGUUUGGGUGUCAAACCCAUACGCGUAAUGAAAGUGAACGGAGGUGAGAACCCUUAAGGGUGCAUCAUCGACCGAUCCUGAUGUCUUCGGAUGGAUUUGAGUAAGAGCAUAGCUGUUGGGACCCGAAAGAUGGUGAACUAUGCCUGAAUAGGGUGAAGCCAGAGGAAACUCUGGUGGAGGCUCGCAGCGGUUCUGACGUGCAAAUCGAUCGUCAAAUUUGGGCAUAGGGGCGAAAGACUAAUCGAACCAUCUA
rnacentral:rRNA from 1 species